rnacentral:lncRNA from 1 species
GGCGAAAUUCUUCUGCCGUCUUGUGAGCGACGCUCGGGCGGAGCUAUUGUCGGCCUUGAUCGCCAGGCUAAACCCGCCUGUUGCUACAAUUCAC